UUAUUGAUAGAAAAGCCACCGGUAGCAGACGAGGACAAAGCACAAGACAACGUAAAAGAACCUUUAGUUAACAGCAAUUCAAAUCCGUUAGAGCAGACGGGCGAUAAUCAAAAUCAUGAAGACAUUAAUGCAGGUUCUACCACAUCAGACAAGUUAAAUACAAAAGAAAAUCCAGCGGUAGCAGGAGAGGACAAAACACAUGACAACGUAAAAAAUCCUUUAGUUAAUAGCAAUUCAAAUCCGUUAGAGCAGACGGACGAUAAUCAAAAUCCUGAAGUCAAGAAUGCAGUUUCUACCAUAUCAGACACGUUAGAUACAAAAGAAAAGCCACCGGUAGCAGACGAGGACAAAGCACAAGACAACGUAAAAGAACCUUUAGUUUAUAG